rnacentral:rRNA from 1 species
CCUACGGGAGGCAGCAGUGGGGAAUAUUGCACAAUGGGCGAAAGCCUGAUGCAGCAACGCCGCGUGAAGGAUGAAGGGUUUCGGCUCGUAAACUUCUAUCAAUAGGGAAGAAAGAAAUGACGGUACCUAAAUAAGAAGCCCCGGCUAACUACGUGCCAGCAGCCGCGGUAAUACGUAGGGGGCAAGCGUUAUCCGGAAUUACUGGGUGUAAAGGGAGCGUAGGCGGCAUGGUAAGCCAGAUGUGAAAGCCUUGGGCUUAACCCGAGGAUUGCAUUUGGAACUAUCAAGCUAGAGUACAGGAGAGGAAAGCGGAAUUCCUAGUGUAGCGGUGAAAUGCUUAGAUAUCACGAAGAACUCCGAUUGCGAAGGCAGCCUGCUAAGCUGCAACUGACAUUGAGGCUCGAAAGUGUGGGUAUCAAACAGGAUUAGAUACCC